rnacentral:rRNA from 1 species
CAAACGGGUGCGGAACACGUACGCAACCUUCCUUUAACUGGAGAAUAGCCCCUCGAAAGAGGGAUUAAUACUCCGUAACAUAUUGAUAAGGCAUCUUAUUAAUAUUAUAGCUCCGGCGGUUAAAGAUGGGCGUGCGCCUGAUUAGAUAGUUGGCGGGGUAACGGCCCACCAAGCCAUCGAUCAGUAACUGGUGUGAGAGCACGACCAGUCACACGGGCACUGAGACACGGGCCCG